CGGGACUACAGGGGUUUCUAAUCCUGUUUGCUCCCCACGCUUUCGCACCUCAGCGUCAAUACUUGUCCAGCGAGCCGCCUUCGCCACUGGUGUUCUUCCGAAUAUCUACGAAUUUCACCUCUACACUCGGAAUUCCACUCGCCUCUCCAAGAUUCUAGCAAUCCAGUCUCAAAGGCAGUUCCGGGGUUGAGCCCCGGGAUUUUACCCCUGACUUAAAUGUCCGCCUACGCUCCCUUUACGCCCAGUAAUUCCGAGCAACGCUAGCCCCCUUCGUAUUACCGCGGCUGCUGGCACA
rnacentral:misc_RNA from 1 species